rnacentral:lncRNA from 1 species
AAACACAUUGAUACAGAGCGUAGCUCAUCCUAGUGGCCGCCCUACAACUUCUCUCUUGGUACUCCAUUGAAGAACACAUCACCAAAUUAUUAGUCCAAGUCAAUAUAUGAAUACGCAAAGACUUUAAGUACUCAAAUUCAAAUUGGAAAAUUACCAUUACCACAAUCCAAUCAUCAUCACAUUAAAAUCUUCAAUGAAC